rnacentral:lncRNA from 1 species
GCAGCUGCUGCUCCAGCUCUCCAGAUCUCUCCAGCAGCUGCUGCUCCGGCUCCGAGCACCUCUUCUUGUACUGGAGAAUCUGGGGAUGGGGAGCUGAUGGUAAGUAUGAGAUCUUCUGCCUCUGCCCCGCCACAGCCUCAUACGCCUCACUCUUUACACACACGGUCACUUCCCCUGCGCACUCCCGAGACCUUGCCAGCCCUCACACACAGCUGGGAUUCUCAGUUCUGAUCAGCGGUCCUAAACCCGUUCCCACGGCACGGGAACUCCUUCGUGGCGAAGCAGCAAGUGGCGAAGCAGCAGCCCCUGCACUACCUCAUCUACAUAGAAGUCGCCCUAUCCGUGAUGUCACCGACAGUGCCUUGCCAAGUCCCUGUCUGCCUUUCUGCCACUCAACCGACCAAUCCGCUGCCAGAGCCGGCAAGGGGAAGUGACGUCUGCCUCUCUCUUUUUCCCUCCCGCUCCUGCAUCUGUUCUCUUCCAAAGAAGCUGGUCCUUAGCCUGUGUUGAGGAGCAACCUUUCCGAGGCCACAUGGAGCUGGGGGGCACCCUUCUUCAAAUAAUGGCUUUUAAUUCUCAAACUAGAGUAUUUCGAAUUACAGAAGAAACCGGUUCUCUUCACAUUCUUAUCCUUGUGAUGUAGCAUUCCACUUGCAAUUGGAAGCCGUUUAAUAUCAGAGAGAAACC